UACGUAGGGGGCUAGCGUUGUCCGGAAUCAUUGGGCGUAAAGCGCGUGUAGGCGGCCCGGUAAGUCCGCUGUGAAAGUCGGGGGCUCAACCCUCGGAAGCCGGUGGAUACUGUCGGGCUCGAGUACGGAAGAGGCGAGUGGAAUUCCUGGUGUAGCGGUGAAAUGCGCAGAUAUCAGGAGGAACACCGAUGGCGAAGGCAGGUCUCUGGGCCAGCUACUGACGCUGAGAAGCGAAAGCAUGGGGGAGCGAACAGG
rnacentral:rRNA from 1 species